GAGUCCUCAGAAUCCUUCUCAACUCAGCAUUUAAUAAGAAUGAGAAUUGAAGAAGGGUGACCUUCAUGACACUCAUUAGUACACAAGGGGAUGAGACAACAGCCACCUUAACAGGGCUGGAUGGUUGGCCAGGCUGCUGAUUGCACAGUGAGUGUGGGGACGACGAGAUUCACCAGGAAGCGGUUGGGACUGCUCCAGGCCUGCUUCUCUUUAUGCCCAUGGCUGGUGGCUUCAUUCUGAGCUCCUGGGAGGGGACCAGGUUCAUUCCCUCCUAUCUACGUACCUCUGUCCUUGCUACCUGGCCCACAGGGAGGCAGCAGUCCCAGCUCCUUACCUGUUGCUGCUGCUGCAGACACCACCUAUGGCUCUGAGAGUGCUCAGGAAAACUGGUGGGGCCAUGAGUUAGUUUGAGAGGCACAUAGCAGUGCUCCUAAUUAGAAGUACUCCAACUGACUCCCACACUGUCCUCAAAAUCAUCCUUCAACAAACGAGACUCCCCUGUUUCUCACUGACUAAGGUUCAAGCUCCUUAGCACAGCCGAUGAGGGCCGGCACCAUGUUAGCCCUGCGAUUUUUUCAGCCAGACUUGGAUUUCUUAUGUGCCUUGUGUCCCCAACUCUCCAGUCCUGCCAAAUGUCUCCUGGUCCUUUGAACAUCUUGCUAUGCUUUUUCAGAUGCUGAGCCCAGUGCCUGGGAUCACCUUCUCCCUCUUGUCUCACAGAUAAGUCCUGCCCAUUUUUGAAGACUGAUAUGGUUUGACUGUGUUCUCAGCCAAAUCUCAUCUUGGAUUGCUCCCAUAAUUCCCAUAUGUUGUGGGAGGGACCCAGUGGGAGAUAAUUGAAUCACGGGGGCAGUUUCCCCCAUACUGUUCUCGUGGUAGUGAAUAAGUCUCAUGAGAUCUGAUGGUUUUAAAAGGGGAAACCCCUUUCACUUGGCUUGCUUUCUCUCUUGUUUGCCACCAUGUGAGACAUGUCUUUUGACUUCCACCAUGAUUGUGAGGCCUCCCCAGCCACGUGGAAUGGUCUGGAAGGCAUGCCUCACCAAACUGAAGUUGAAGCCAAAACCUGGAGGAAGGAUAGAGGGAAGACAGAGGCCGGGUGCAGUGCCUCACACCUGUAGUCCCAGCACUUUGGGAGGCCAUGGUGGGUGGAUCAUGAGGUCAGGAGUUCAAGGCCAGCCUGGCCGACAGGGUGACC
rnacentral:lncRNA from 1 species